UGUACUGCAUGGUAUCUGCAUGCAGCACUUUAUUCCUGCUGUGUGUUCAAAAAACAGUGCAAUAUAAAUCAGUAUCUGGCAUCAUUGGUUUGCUUGGCUUUGUGCAUGUUAACUGGUUUUUGGCUUCCGCA